AUUAACGUUGGUUGCGAAAUACAGAAGAAGAAGAAUAAGAAGAACAUACAGAAGAAGAGAGAAUAUUUCCACAGCUCCACAAGCUCUUUUCGCGAUUGGCGAAAGCAUCAUAUUUGAAGGUUAAUUCAACAUGAAAAGAAAGGGUGAGAUAUCAGACUUCUGUUCCAAAAGGACCCAAUGACAUUUCAAGAUCCAGAGAACAGGGUCCUGUACAGCUGUAUUUGAAAACAUUUCCCAGAACUCAGCAUGGUACUAGGAAUGGGGCUUUCAACAACUCCUGGUAUAAGGACAAUUCAUGGCUUGAAUAUUCUAGAAACCCUGUCUGCAGAUGAAGAGGUCACAAAGAAUGUCCCAAGAGAGUAAAUGAACAUUGUUGUAUGCCGUGGAUUAUGUGUACCUAUGUUAGCAAAUUUUGUGAACAAAAAUACAAUUUCAAAUCAAAUCAAAUCUUAUUUGUCACAUACACAUGGUUAGCAGAUGUUAAUGCGGGUGUAGCGAAAUGCUUGUGCUUCAAGUUCCGACCAUGCAGUAAUGUCUAACAAGUAUCUAACAAGUAAAAGUCACACAAUGUAUAAACCUAUUACAACUGGAGCAUGCCAACCCCGCUGAGUGUGUACGCUUCUGUUCCAGCCCAAUACUAACACAUCUGAUUCAAUGUAUCAAAACGAAUUAGUUAAUAAUCAAGUGUGCUAUUGCUGGGCUGCAACAGAAGUCUGCUCACCAGUAGAUCAGUGAUCAGUGGAGCGAGGUUGGACACCUCUGGUAUUUACUUUUUUUUGUUCACCUGAAAUUAUUUUACUAAUAAUAGCCUACUUGUUACUAACAUUUUGAACUUCUACAUAUGCGUUAACUUACUUGUACACUUUGAACUUAUAUAAAAUUGUUGAUUCUUUGAAGUUAAGUUAACAAUAAAAAACAGUUUAAAACUUAACUAUUAUUCAAGAUGAA